rnacentral:rRNA from 1 species
UGGGGAAUAUUGCACAAUGGAGGGAACUCUGAUGCAGCGACGCCGCGUGAACGAAGAAGGCUUUCGAGUCGUAAGGUUCUUUUAUAUGGGAAGAUAAUGACGGUACCAUAAGAAGAAGCCCCGGCUAACUACGUGCCAGCAGCCGCGGUAAUACGUAGGGGGCUAGCGUUGUCCGGAAUCACUGGGCGUAAAGGGUUCGCAGGCGGAAAUGCAAGUCAGGUGUAAAAGGCAGUAGCUUAACUACUGUAAGCAUUUGAAACUGCAUAUCUUGAGAAGAGUAGAGGUAAGUGGAAUUUUUAGUGUAGCGGUGAAAUGCGUAGAUAUUAAAAAGAAUACCGGGGGCGAAGGCGACUUACUGGGCUCAUUCUGACGCUGAGGAACGAAAGCGUGGGUAGCAAACAGG